GAUGAACGCUGGCGGCGUGCCUAAUACAUGCAAGUCGAGCGAAAAGACGAGGAGCUUGCUCCUCUGACGUGAGCGGCGGGCGGGUGAGUAACACGUGGAUAACCUACCUAUAAGACUGGGAUAACUUCGGGAAAGCGGAGAUAAUACCGGAUAAUAUAUUGAACCGCAUGGUUCAAUAGUGAAAGACGGUUUUGCUGUAUCUUCUCGAUGCAUCCGAGCCGCAUGAGCUAGUUGGUAAGGUAACGGCCUACCAAGGCAACGAUGCGUAGCCGACCUGAUAGGGUGAUCGGCCACACGGGAGCUUGGACGCGGUCCAUGCGCCUACGGGAGGGAGCAGUAGGGUAUCGUCCGCAGUGGGCGGAAGCUUGGCGCAGCAACGCCGCGUGAGUGAUGAAGGUCCUCCGAGCGUAAAACUCUGCUAUUAGGGAAGAACAAAUUUCGAAUGAACCAUGGACGUCUUGACGGUAACUAAUAAGAAAGCCACGGCUAACUACGUG
rnacentral:rRNA from 1 species